UCCAGGGCCCUUCAGCUCGGCUCUAAUUCUGGAACAAGGCUGUCUUGGGUCACAUAUGCAGAUCCCCAGCCAAAUUGCAGACAAGGCCCUGCUUGAAGCUCUAGGAGACUCAGACAGAGCUCUGGGGAGCAGCAGGCGGGAGCACAGAAAGAAGAUAUGCAUCCACAUGAGGACAUUCAACCUUUAAUUCUGCUUGUCACCAAGAAGGGGAACUUUGAAGUCAUUUAGUCCACAUAUACUGAAAACAAUCCUAUUCCAUGGAGUAUAGGGUCAAUAAAUCCUUGCCAGAUUGACUCAUAUCUC
rnacentral:lncRNA from 1 species